GGAGAGGUGUCCGAGUGGCUUAAGGAGCACGCCUGGAAAGUGUGUGUGCUAAAUUUUGCACCGAGGGUUCGAAUCCCUCUCUCUCCG
rnacentral:tRNA from 1 species